rnacentral:rRNA from 1 species
UAGGGAAUCUUCGGCAAUGGACGAAAGUCUGACCGAGCAACGCCGCGUGAGUGAAGAAGGUUUUCGGAUCGUAAAACUCUGUUGUUAGAGAAGAACAAGGACGUUAGUAACUGAACGUCCCCUGACGGUAUCUAACCAGAAAGCCACGGCUAACUACGUGCCAGCAGCCGCGGUAAUACGUAGGUGGCAAGCGUUGUCCGGAUUUAUUGGGCGUAAAGCGAGCGCAGGCGGUUUCUUAAGUCUGAUGUGAAAGCCCCCGGCUCAACCGGGGAGGGUCAUUGGAAACUGGGAGACUUAGGUGCAGAAGAGGAGAGUGGAAUUCCAUGUGUAGCGGUGAAAUACGUAGAUAUAUGGAGGAACACCAGUGGCGAAGGCGGCUCUCUGGUCUGUAACUGACGCUGAGGCUCGAAAGCGUGGGGAGCAAACAGG